AGGCGCAGAGGCGAUAUCGUAACCAAUGAGGUUCUACCGAGGUGCAAUUAUUGCUAGUUGAAACUCAUCUUCG
rnacentral:snRNA from 1 species